CGAUACACAAAAGCGGAUUCAUGACUUGAAUUUUAUAUGUUUUAGUUCCAAAUUCUACCAUAACUCAAAUAAUUUACUGCCACUACUAAAAAAACUGCAUUUCUCCACCAAAACAUUUUGACCUCACUUUUUGGUCAAAAAAAAAAAAAACGAUCGUACGUGGUCAAAAUUAAUUUUUGUUCAACUAAUAAAUGGAAAAAAAUCAUUUUAUACAAAAUUAAAUUAUAUAAAUAAAAACUAAAUCAAAUCUAACUUAAUUAUUUCGACUGCAUGCGAUUGAAAAUAAUAAAAUAGAAAAAACCUAUCAGAUCUUGAAAACCCCAUUUGCAUCCUGUGUCCAAACUUUCCCCUCUCUAAAUAAACUAUCUUCCCCAAAAUUCCCACCACCCCACCACGACAUCUCCGGCCACCAACUACCAACGAUGUUCCCCGAGUAGGUGACGCCGCCCAGUUAAACCAUCGGAGCAGCCACCUCCGCCGCUGCUGCCGACAGAACAGUGAGGUUAGUCUUAUUUUUUCUUUUUCUUUUUUUAAUUUUCAAUCUCAUUUUAUCAUUAUUAGUUGCAUUACUUUGUAUAGGUGUAGUUUAAUUAGUAGAUUUGUUAACUUUAUCGAUUGUUCAAUGUUUGUUUUAGGGUUUACAAUGUUAACUUUAUUUUAGGGUUUUGAUCACCAAAAAAAAAAACAGCUCUGUUUUGUAUUCUCCAGUAAAUCCGUCUGUAACAAAAUUGAAUUAUUGAAUUUCAUAGGAUAGUUAUGGUAGAUCAAAGUGUUAUUAGCAUGGACUUUAAAAUGCAUACAACUAAUGCCUUAGUCAUAAAUUAGUAUGAAGACAAAAAUAUAUUACGUACUACUUUCACUAGCAAGUAACAGAUGAAGUAUCUCAAGACUGUAUGCUAUGAUAAAGUUCCAAUCUUUAAACUUCUUCUAUUUGUUUUUUUUUUUUUAUAAAUUUUAUGAUGAGAAAUACUACAAGUAUACUCACACAUAAGUGCUAGUUACAUUCAUUGGUAGCACUUAGUCGGAUUCCUUAUUUCGGAGGCAACUUGUAAAAUGUAGGUUCAAUUGCGUCAACUUUUUAAGAAUAGAAUGAAGUAUAUAAUUAAGGUAAUCAGUUUCUCUGUAUAAUCAUUUAAAUGCUGAUUGUCUUGGGACUUGGGACUAAGAAAGAAUUUUCCUCCUGGGCAUCAAUUUAGAACAGAUGUAUGUUUUGGUUAUUUUAAGGUGCUAUAGGGAUUCCUGGGCAUCAAUGAUAAUGGGGUUGAAGGGUGCUAUAGGGAUUCCAAUCUGAGCUUGCCGCUAGUCGUGAGGUAUUGAUGACUUGUUGUUGAUAUAUUGUGCCUUGUUGUUGAUGUUGUACUUGUUGUGUUUUACUGGAGUUGUUGUUGAUAUGUGGAGUUGUCUAUAAGGGAUUCAAAUCAACCUAUUUGCAUAUGAUUCAAAUCAAGUCAGUCAAUUGACAUCUUUUACUCUCUGUUUUUGUACACUCUUUCUUUUCACUAAUAUAUUGUGAGUAGGAGUUCUUAUACUCACGGUAAUGUUAGUCGGAUUGAAAUUCACGUUGGAGAAUUUGAAUAAUUCUUAGCUUAUGAAUGAGAAAAAUUGAGCAAUAUGACUGGCAUUGGGUGUUAGAAUGUUGGUCUGUUAUUAGUUUAUAAACUGUUGAUUUUGGAGUUCUAAAUUGAUGACUUGUAACUAAGAUUCCUAUGCCCUGGAAUUACUUCUAUUUUCAUGGAUUUUGGGGACUGGACUGGAAUUACAGUUAGCAAAAUGUAUCUUAUAAUUAUGUGCUUCUUUGGAAACCAGAAGCAGUUAUAAGUUUUGUGCAUUCUUGGCUAGUGUAUAAGUUAACAGCACGUAAAGAUUCAAAAUAUGUUUGGAUUAUGAAUGCGAGAAAUUAAGCAAUAUGACCAUACUGUGAAGAGUAAUGCAUUUGAACUAAAAGUAUGGCUCAUGACUGAGUGAAAUUAAGAAACAAGACCAAACUAGUGUCUUUUUUCAUUCCAGACCGAUAACUUCUUUAGUUUGUGGCUGUGUGGAAUCUUUGUUACUGUUUGUCAACACUAAAUCAACCUUUAGCUUGCUGCAUUCAUUUUCUGCCAUGUUCUUGGAGUGGCACUACCCAGAAACAUUGACCAGUACACUUCAGUUUCAAAAACAUUGUCCAGUACACUUUUAUCAUCUAUAAGUGUCACUUCAUUAUAGUCGUUUUUAGUUGUUAAUCUUGGUUUGUUUGUGGGAGCUUAAAAGAGAUCAUGUAGUACCUCAAGAUGAGAUCUUCAAGAUUACUCACACAAGAAAGACGAAGAAGGCCGUUGGUACAGAGCAAUGGAUUGAGCCAAGGGCCAAGAGAACCUUAUAAUGAAUUUCCACAACACUUUGGGGAGUUUCGUGCCACUCGGCCAAGCGGUACGCCGAUGACCCCGAAUUUCAACAACACUUUGAAUGCGAAUUUGAUUAUAGAAUAUAGUUUAUGGUUGUUUAAGUUUAUGAUGUUUAAGUGUUUGAAUGUAGUUUUAAUUUGAAUAAUAAGUACUUUGAGGUUAAAUUUGAUUGUAAAAUGUUGUAGUUUAUGAUUGUAGAAUGUUGUAGUUUAUGAUUGUAGAAUUGGUUGAUGAAUUGGAUGUGUUGGAUGGUUGAGAUUGGAUG